rnacentral:hammerhead_ribozyme from 1 species
AUCCACUUGACGAGUCACAAAUAGGACGAAAUGCGCAUCCUGGAU